GGGCGUGUGGCAAAAUGGUUACCGCUUGACUACGAAUCAAGAGAUUCCAGGUUUGACCCCUGGCACGCUCG